GGAGAAAUACCCAAGAGGCUGAAGGGGUCGGUCUCGAAAACCGAUAGGAGUGAAAGCUCGCGAGGGUUCAAAUCCCUCUUUCUCCG
rnacentral:tRNA from 1 species